GACGAACGCUGGCGGCGUGCUUAACACAUGCAAGUCGAACGGAAAGGCCCUGCUUUUGUGGGGUGCUCGAGUGGCGAACGGGUGAGUAACACGUGAGUAACCUGCCCUUGACUUUGGGAUAACUUCAGGAAACUGGGGCUAAUACCGGAUAGGAGCUCCUGCUGCAUGGUGGGGGUUGGAAAGUUUCGGCGGUUGGGGAUGGGCUCGCGGCUUGUCAGCUUGUUGGUGGGGUAGUGGCUUACCAAGGCUUUGACGGGUAGCCGGCCUGAGAGGGUGACCGGCCACAUUGGGACUGAGAUACGGCACAGACUCCUACGGGAGGCAGCAGUGGGGAAUAUUGCACAAUGGGAGGAAGCCUGAUGCAGCAACGCCGCGUGCGGGAUGACGGCCUUCGGGUUGUAAACCGCUUUCGCCUGUGACGAAGCGUGAGUGACGGUAAUGGGUAAAGAAGCACCGGCUAACUACGUG
rnacentral:rRNA from 1 species